AGAUCCCGAGUAUUUAUGUCGAUCCAAAAAAAUGGAGAAUAAGUUAAGUGGCUGAAGAAGCUGAACCCUAAUAUUACAGGUAAAAGAGAUAAGGGAAAAUUUUACAGGUUUCUUGAAGAUCAUGGCCACACAACCAAUGAAUGCAGACAGCUCAAAGGCGAAAUAGAGCGACUAAUCAGAGAUAGUUGACUCAAGAAAUUUACUAGAGACGGCCGAGACAAUAGAAGAACACCUGCUCCUAAGAACAAGGAUAUCAUUCUAAACAAAGACGAAAGUCCAAUCAGAGUAAUCAAUUUGAUAGCUGGGGGACCAAAUACAGGCAAAAUAGGCAACAAG
rnacentral:misc_RNA from 1 species